rnacentral:lncRNA from 1 species
GGCCUUCCAGCUGUUUUUAUUUGAGCGCCACUGAUGAGUCGUAUAUAAAAAUAGAAUUCAGAGGACAAUUUUAAGAUUGAAUUAAAUUUUAUUUAGAUAAGAAUAAAGAGUUAUGGCAUGAUUGCCAAUUUAACAACUACCCACCUGAGGGUAUGUAAGUAUGAAACUAUAGGUCACUGUAUGGCAUACAACAAUUAGCAAAAUCCAUCCCGUAUGAGAGGCCAUAAAAGGCACCGGCAUGGCCACAUUUAAAGCAUUCAAACGAAAAACCCAACAGCAAAAUUUAAACGAAAACAACAAAUGAAAAACCAAUAUGACAG